AGGGUUUGAUCAUGGCUCAGAUUGAACGCUGGCGGCAUGCUUUACACAUGCAAGUCGAACGGUAACAGGCCGCAAGGUGCUGACGAGUGGCGAACGGGUGAGUAAUGUAUCGGAACGUGCCCAGUCGUGGGGGAUAACGCAGCGAAAGCUGCGCUAAUACCGCAUACGAUCUAUGGAUGAAAGCGGGGGACCGUAAGGCCUCGCGCGAUUGGAGCGGCCGAUAUCAGAUUAGGUAGUUGGUGGGGUAAAGGCUCACCAAGCCAACGAUCUGUAGCUGGUCUGAGAGGACGACCAGCCACACUGGGACUGAGACACGGCCCAGACUCCUACGGGAGGCAGCAGUGGGGAAUUUUGGACAAUGGGCGCAAGCCUGAUCCAGCAAUGCCGCGUGCAGGAAGAAGGCCUUCGGGUUGUAAACUGCUUUUGUACGGAACGAAACGGUCCUGGUUAAUACCUGGGGCUAAUGACGGUACCGUAAGAAUAAGCACCGGCUAACUACGUGCC
rnacentral:rRNA from 1 species